AAGUCGUAACAAGGUAACCGUAGGUGAACCUGCGGUUGGAUCAUUAAUAAAAUGACAAAAGUAUUUUGUCGUCCUUUUUUGGUUUUUUUUUUCUUUUUUUGUUUUCACUCCAAGUUGACCUUUGACGCUUGGUGUAAAAAAAAAGAAAAAUAUCCCAAAACAACUCUGUGCGCACUGUAUCUGUCUCUGCCUGGUGGGGAAUGUGGGACCCCAGUAGUAAUCAUUCUGGGAUCUUGCCAGGCAGGUUCUUGUGUUAAGUAGGAGAUUUUGUGGUUACUUGGUAACUCAAAAAAGAAAAAAAAAACAUAAAAACAACUUUUGACAACGGAUCUCUUGGCUCUC
rnacentral:misc_RNA from 1 species